AAAAAGACAUUAAAUUGCAUGACAGCAGGAUCCGAUUAGGGAUUUAGGAUUUCUGCAGUACAAUAUAACAAUUUUCAACAGACAGAUAUUUGUCUCCGGAUAUACUUCAUCUGACGGAUUCGUAUCCAUUUAAUAACAGUGGAUAAAAGGAGAACUUCUAAGCGUCCGCCUCAGUGAUGGAUCGGCAGAAUUUUACCACCCUGUACGAAGCCAGUGGAAUGAACGACACACAAGAAAUGCCGGGUCUGAGUGGACCAUCGGCGCCUGAACACUUUAAGGCCAUACAGGACUUCGUGAAGGUCGUGUCACCCAUCACGUUCUGCCUUGGCUACCCUCUGAACUGGCUCGUGUUUUACAUCUUUUCCAGGUCCAAGCUCAAAACGACCUCGUCUUCCCGCUACAUUGCCGCCAUUGCUUUUGUGGACAACGUGGAAUAUUCCUCUCUAUUUGGUACGUAACGGCGCUUGUGAUUGACAAAUUCAUUGGAUUGUACUGGCCAGUCAAAAGGUCUGAAUAUUGUACGGAGUUUCGGGCGAAGUGUGUAACUGUGCUGUUCGCCAUCUUCUCUAUUGUAAUGUAUCACUAUCUUUUGUGGACAGUUGGAAAUAAGGUCAGUGGACAUACCACUUUAUGUAUGCCUUACCAUGCACCGAGUUUGAUGGAAACUUGGAGUUUUCUUAAUCAUGUUGAUUACGUAAUCGUGGCGAUAAUUCCGUAUUUAACGAUAGUGAUAUUGCUCGGCCUUAUUAUCGUAAAGCUCUGUACGUACAAAUCCAACGUCAGACAGGUGCGCGGAUCCCUGCGGGGGAGGCUUCCUAGUGUUAACACGGAACAGGAGUUCAAGACCAUGCCACUAGUCAUUGCAGUGGCCGUCACAACCAUCGCUCUAGGACUUCUCUUCAAUAUCUAUAGGAUUUUUCGAAUCAUGGAUCAAAACACUCACACGGUGGCUUUAUGUUUUUAUCAAAUUUCUUUUGCCUGCAAGUUUUUUUCGUACGUGAUGACGUCAGAGAGUUUCCGUGAUCACCUGACUAUGCUGUGCCGUCAGUGUAUUUACCAUGGCCCUGGGAUUCCCCUCUGUCGCGGGCACUCCGAGUCGGAGCCGACCACAUUCAUCAGUGUUAAUCAACAGACACACAGUUCCACGGAGGACCACUGUAUCAUUGAGGGCACUGUAUAAACGCUAUACUGUCAGUUACUUGUGUUUAUUAUACAUGCAUAUACUCAAAAUAUUAUGUAAUUAGCUGAACCCGAAAUCCGUGAGCAGCGUUUAGUAACCAUAGCAUAUAGUGAGUAACUGUAAGGUCCACGAGACCUUGUCAAUAAUAAGCUACAUAUAUCAAGGAUAUAAACAUAGGACAAAAAAUGUAUUGAUUUUGGAAUGUUGGUCUGUUUACUUGUGAAGGAAGGUGGGAAUAAACACGAGAAGAAUUUACCGAGCUGCCGUAGAAGAGUAUGCGUAUUUCAAUAUUUAAUUAAAUACUGGUAUUACUUUCCCUGUUAAUAAAAUUUACUACUGCAAUUC
rnacentral:misc_RNA from 1 species